ensembl:lncRNA
CCAUCCAGCAAGCAAUCCAGCAAGCAAUCCAGCAAGUGUCGUAUUUUUCGUUGUUUCGCCUACCAAGCAAUGACUUUUUGUAUGAAGGUCAAUAAGAGUGUCUAACAACUAAAUGAAUAGCUUAUUUGCAAGGCUUCAAAGACUCUCCCCGCCAUUUGGUUGCAACCAUUCUAAUUUAGUGUACCUUGCACGUGCAAUCCAUGUGCAAUUCCUGGUCUCUGGCAGCUUUUGGAACUGCCGAUCUGCAGUCAAGAACGG